rnacentral:rRNA from 1 species
AUGGCGCAGCAGCACGGCGCCGGGGGCGGCGGCUCGCAGCAUAUGACGCAGCACAGCGUCGGUGGUGGUGGCGGGUCGCAGCAUAUGGCGCCGCACGGCGCUGGCGGUGGCGGUGGCUCACAGCAUAUGCCGCAGCACAGCGGUGGUAGCGGUGGCGGUGGUGGCUCACAGCAUAUGGCGCAGCACAGCGCUGGCGGCGGUGGCGGUGGUGGCUCACAGCAUAGGGUGCAGCACAACGCUGGUGGCGGUGCCGACGGGGGCAUGGACAUUGGCAUGGGUGUUGUGGCCGUGAGCGGUGAUGCUAAAGGGGAUCAGGGGGGCGAGGCUGGCCAGGAUGAGCAGGUGAAGAAAAAGCGCGGGAGGCCAAGGAAGUAUAAGCCUGAUGGGUCGGUGACGUUGGGGCUCUCGCCAUCUCCAUCCACGCCUCAUUCGUCGAGCCCAGGAAUGGGCGCGAUGGUUACCACACCUGGCUCAGGAUUUGGGCCGGGGACAGGGUCAGGGGGUUCUGGUUCAGGCGCACUGACGGAGAAACGUGGCAGAGGGCGGCCACCUGGGUCCGGGAAGAUGCAGCAGCUGGCUUCGCUUGGAAAAUGGUUUCUUGGCUCUGUUGGAACAGGGUUUACUCCUCACGUGAUUAUUAUUUCAGCCGGAGAGGAUGUUGCCGCCAGAAUAAUGUCCUUCUCACAACAAGGCCCAAGAGCUAUUUGCAUCAUCUCAGCAACAGGGGCUGUCUCCACGGCAACCCUUCAUCAGGAUUCAGACUCCGGUGUGGUGACAUAUGAGGGUCGAUUUGAAAUCCUGUGUCUUUCUGGAUCAUAUUUGGUGGUAGAAGAAGGUGGUACCCGCACUCGAAGUGGAGGCCUUUGCAUAGCUUUGUGUGGCCCUGACCACAGGGUUAUCGGUGGGAGUGUUAGUGGAGUCCUGACAGCAGCUGGAACUGUUCAGUGA